ACCUCAAUAUCAGUUAUAUGAUAGAUUGAUUAGCUCAAGUCCAGUUGUGACUUCUAUGGAAACUCUUUUCCAUCAAUCAUACUACUGUGACCAUAGACUCUUGGACUUAGCUUCUCAAAUUUUAUAGGAUCAGUCCUCUCUAUCAAGGUCGAUAGAUCCUAUCUUGAUGUGCACCCCACUUUUACAGUGGACCAACUAUCACCAAC
rnacentral:lncRNA from 1 species